CCCACUUCCACUCUGGGUCCCUAGACCCAUGUGUUUUAAUUAAUCAGGAGCAAAUUUGUGUAAAAACACGUCUGGAUAAAAAUCAAUUUAGCAAAAUUGUUUUUAAGAUAUUUAUACAGAUAAAAUGAUAUAAUUAUUUCUUAGUCUUUCCUAAUGAAGCCAACAUUUAACAAUAAAUUCAAUAUUGCCUUUAAAAAGCCAUUUGUUUAGAUAUCCAAAGAAUACCCAAUACUAUGUUGAACAAGAAUGAAUAGAAGAG
rnacentral:lncRNA from 1 species